rnacentral:rRNA from 1 species
UACGUAGGGUGCAAGCGUUAAUCGGAAUUACUGGGCGUAAAGCGUGCGCAGGCGGUUAUGUAAGACAGGGGUGAAAUCCCCGGGCUUAACCUGGGAACUGCAUUUGUGACUGCAUAGCUAGAGUACGGUAGAGGGGGAUGGAAUUCCGCGUGUAGCAGUGAAAUGCGUAGAUAUCGGGAGGAACACCGGUGGCGAAGGCGGCGACCUGGGUAGAUACUGACGCUGAGGUGCGAAAGCGUGGGGAGCAAACAGG